ACAAGUAAGAGUGAAUGAGUCUCGAAUACGUAAGGAUACGUACGCUUGGAACGGUUCCGUCCUCUUCUUUCUUUUCUCAACUUUCUUUGCUGCGGGAUUAUUUCUCCCUCCGUUUCUUUAUUUUUUUCAACACACUUUUUCUCUUAUAUCAUAUUUUGAUAUAUCUAUUUCACAACACUAAACGAAGAAAUCGGAUUGAUCGACGCUGCUGCUCCCCGUCAUUAUCGUUCAAAAACGCGUUCAUGUGAAAAAAAUAAAGAAACAAAAAAAGAAAAGAAAAGAACAGAAAUAAAAACAAUAAGUAAGAUCAGAAAUAAGUGUGGAGGAUAAAAUUGAAGGAAGCCAAGGAGGAGAAGAAGAAAAGCAAGAGGAUUUAAAACAUAAGAGACGUUGGAAACUAUCGAAUAGGCCGCAACGUUCUUCCCUGGUUUUCAUGGUACAAGGACUUUGGUAUCCGAUUAAGGCGUCCGGAUUACAGUUGGGUUUGCGGAAUAACAGGAGGGUGGUAGGUGACGACGACGAGGAUCGAGACGAUGGUCUCGAGAGAAAAGAAGGAAGAGGAAGGCCGGCUCUGCUUGAUAAAUUGAUACUGGACAAUGAGUAAAGAUUGAAUGAAGACGGCUGCGGUGUUGGCGACGGCGAUGAACCGAGUAAGCUUGGAAAUCGCAAAGUAAUGGCGAAAAGAAGGGAACGAGUUUCAUUCAUUUCGGUGGACGGAGGGAGAUAUUGGCAAACUAAAAACGUUAAUUUAUUCAAUGCUAAGAGAGGACUCGCGCAUUCUACCCCCUACCUAGAAGGACAGCCUAGGACCAAGUAGAAGACGAAAAGAAAAAAAGAAAGAACGAAAGAAAGAAAGAAAGAAUGAAUGAGGAUCGGA